rnacentral:rRNA from 1 species
UACGUAGGGGGCAAGCGUUGUCCGGAAUCAUUGGGCGUAAAGCGCGCGUAGGCGGCUUCGUAAGUCCGUUGUGAAAGUCAAAGGCUCAACCUUUGAAAGCCGAUGGAUACUGCGGAGCUAGAGUACGGAAGAGGCGAGUGGAAUUCCUGGUGUAGCGGUGGAAUGCGCAGAUAUCAGGAGGAACACCAAUAGCGAAGGCAGCUCGCUGGGACGUUACUGACACUGAGGCGCGAAAGCGUGGGGAGCAAACAGG